rnacentral:misc_RNA from 1 species
UUUCCGUAGGUGAACCUGCGGAAGGAUCAUUAAAAAUGAAGCCGGGAAUCCGGUCCUUCUAACCCUUGAUUAUCUUAAUUUGUUGCUUUGGUGGGCCGCGCAAGCACCGGCUUCGGCUGGAUCGUGCCCGCCAGAGGACACAACUCUGUAUCAAAUGUCGUCUGAGUACUAUAAAAUAGUCAAAACUUUCAACAACGGAUCUCUUGGUUCUGGCAUCGAUGAAGAAGCAGC